UCAAUUCGCAAAGUUGCACAACAACACGACAUCGACUCUAUGUCAGUUCAUAAAAUUCUAAAAAAGGAGAAAUUUCAUCCAUAUAAGAUCCAUCUGGUGCAGGAACUAUGUGAAGAUGAUUUUGAUCGUCGCAUUGAAUUUUGCGAAAAUAUUGGAGCGAUGAAAAUCCUCAUUGGAUGUACGAGGCACAUACUCAGAAUCAGCAAAAAGCAACGUAUGGGCUGGAAUUUUAAAUGAAGCCAUUAUUGGGCCUUUCUUUAUUGAAGCAAGAUGGGGCGCCAUUUCACUACGAUUUACGAGUACGCCAAUAUCUGAAUGAAGUUUUUCCGAAUGGAUAGGAAGAAGGGGUUACAUUGAAUGGCUAGCACGGUCGCCUGAUCUAAUUCACUUGAUUUUUUGUGGGGAUAUUUAAAGGGAAAAAUUUAUAAUACUAAAUCUCGAAAUUUUAAUGAUUUACGUCAACGAA